AUGAAGGGUAUGAGAGGAAGAGGUCGUCUACUGGACGCGGUUCAACUAGCGGAGACUCUUGGAAAAGAUGCACUAAAAAGUCCCCAAGUUAGCGUAUUAUGGGGGACCGUCAAGCACAUCCGGCAAAGAUCAAGGGGCGUCUCGUUGUUGCAUAGCUCAGGUCAGAGCAAGGUGCCAUCAGGCGUUCAACAGGCAGUCUCACGAUCGGGUAUGAGUGUCCUGAAGAAGAAAUUGUAUACUCCCUUUGGUCGGAAGGUGGCGGGGGAAGGAAGGGGACACUGGGCAGGAUCUUUCAAUAGCGAAUUCCCCAUACAGAUAGAGGCGCCUAUCAAAAAGAUACUCCGAAGGCUUCGGGAUCGAGGUCUCAUUAGCCGAACAAGACCCAGGCCAAUCCACAUGGCCUCUUUGACCAACGUCAAUGAAAGAGACAUAGUAAAUUGGUUCGCGGGCAUCGCGAUAAGUCCUCUGUCCUACUACAGGUGCUGCGACAACCUUUACCAAGUCUGA
rnacentral:rRNA from 1 species